UGGAAACUNUCUGACUUGAGUGCAGAAGGGGAGAGUGGAAUNCCAUGUGUAGCGGUGAAAUGCGUAGAUAUAUGGAGGAACACCAGUGGCGAAAGCGGCUCUCUGGUCUGUCACUGACGCUGAGGCUNGAAAGCGUGGGUAGCGAACAGGAUUAGAUACCCUGGUAGUNCACGCCGUAAACGAUGAGUGCUAGGUGUUAGGCCCUUUCCGGGGCUUAGUGCCGGAGCUAACGCAAUAAGCACUCCGCCUGGGGAGUACGACCGCAAGGUUGAAACUCAAAGGAAUUGACGGGGGCCCGCACAAGCGGUGGAGCAUGUGGUUUAAUUCGAAGCAACGCGAAGAACCUUACCAGGUCUUGACAUCCCGAUGCUAUUCUUAGAGAUAGGAAGUUACUUCGGUACAUCGGAGACAGGUGGUGCAUGGUUGUCGUCAGCUCGUGUCGUGAGAUGUUGGGUUAAGUCCCGCAACGAGCGCAACCCUUAUUGUUAGUUGCCAUCAUUAAGUUGGGCACUCUAGCGAGACUGCCGGUAAUAAACCGGAGGAAGGUGGGGAUGACGUCAAAUCAUCAUGCCCCUUAUGACCUGGGCUACACACGUGCUACAAUGGUCGGUACAACGAGUUGCGAGCCGGUGACGGCAAGCUAAUCUCUGAAAGCCGAUCUCAGUUCGGAUUGGAGGCUGCAACUCGCCUCCAUGAAGUCGGAAUCGCUAGUAAUCGCGGAUCAGCACGCCGCGGUGAAUACGUUCCCGGGCCUUGUACACACCGCCCGUCACACCACGAGAGUUUGUAACACCNGAAGUCGGUGAGGUA
rnacentral:rRNA from 1 species